AGUUCAGUAACGAAACUGCGAAUAGCUCAUAAUACGCUCAGAAUCUAUUUGGCGGCGACCAACAGGUCUUAAAUGGAUAGCAGCAGCAACUCUGGUGCUAAUACAUGCGAUUGUUUCUCCAGAUGUGAAUUAUGGAGGAAAAGUUGACCUCAUCAGAGGCACGCCAUUCGACUGAGUGACCUAUCAGCUUGUACUUAGGGUCUUUACCUAGGUAGGCUAUCACGGGUAACGGGCGGUUACCGUCGGACUGCCGGAGAAGGCGCCUGAGAGAUAGCGACUAUAUCCACGGGUAGCAGCAGGCGCGAAACUUUCCCACUCGAGACUUUCGGAGGAGGUAAUGACCAGUUCCAUUGGUGCCUUUUGGUACUGUGGAUAGGGGUACGGUUUUCCACCGUACCGAAACCUAGCAGAGGGCCAGUCUGGUGCCAGCAGCUGCGGUAAUUCCAGCUCUGCGAGUUUGCUCCCAUAUUGUUGCAGUUAAAACGCCCGUAGUCUGAAUUGGCCAGCAAUGGUCGUACGUAUUUUUACGUUCACUGUGAACAAAUCAGGACGCUUAGAGUAUGGCCACAUGAAUGACUCAGCGCAGUAUGAAGUCUUUGUUUUCUUCCGAAAACAAGCUCAAUGAGAGCCAUCGGGGGUAGAUCUAUCUCAUGACGAGUGGUGGAAUACUUUGACUCAUGAGAGAGAAGCUGAGGCGAAGGCGUCUACCUAGAGGGUUUCUGUCGAUCAAGGGCGAGAGUAGGAGUAUCCAACAGGAUUAGAGACCCUGGUAGUUCCUACCUUAAACGAUGCCGACAGGAGUUUGUCAUUUGUUAAUGGCAGAAUCUUUGGAGAAAUCAUAGUUCUUGGGCUCUGGGGGAACUACGACCGCAAGGCUGAAACUUGAAGGAAUUGACGGAAGGGCACACCAGGGGUGGAGCCUGUGGCUUAAUUUGAAUCAACACGGGGAAACUUACCAGGACCAGAUGUUUUUUAUGACUGACAGGCUUCGGGUCUUUCAGGAUAUUGUUUUUGGUGGUGCAUGGCCGUUGGUGGUGCGUGGGUUGACCUGUCUAGCGUUGAUUCAGCUAACGAGCGAGA
rnacentral:ncRNA from 1 species